UACGAAGGGGGCGAGCGUUGUUCGGAAUUACUGGGCGUAAAGGGCGCGCAGGCGGCUCUGAAAGUCAGAUGUGAAAGCCCCGGGCUUAACCUGGGAACUGCAUUUGUGACUGCAUCGCUGGAGUGCGGCAGAGGGGGAUGGAAUUCCGCGUGUAGCAGUGAAAUGCGUAGAUAUGCGGAGGAACACCGAUGGCAAAGGCAAUCCCCUGGGCCUGCACUGACGCUCAUGCACGAAAGCGUGGGGAGCAAACAGG
rnacentral:rRNA from 1 species